rnacentral:misc_RNA from 1 species
GAUGAAGAACGCAGCGAACUGCGAUAAGUAAUGUGAAUUGCAGAAUUCAGUGAAUCAUCGAGUCUUUGAACGCACAUUGCGCCCCCUGGCAUUCCGGGGGGCAUGCCUGUCCGAGCGUCAUUGCUGCCCUUCAAGCCCGGCUUGUGUGUUGGGUCGUCGUCCCCCCCGGGGGACGGGCCCGAAAGGCAGCGGCGGCACCGCGUCCGGUCCUCGAGCGUAUGGGGCUUUGUCACCCGCUCGAUUAGGGCCGGCCGGGCGCCAGCCGGCGUCUCCAACCUUCUAUUUUACCAGGUUGACCUCGGAUCAGGUAGGGAUACCCGCUGAACUUAAGCAUAUCAAUAAGAGGA